rnacentral:rRNA from 1 species
AUGGCGACUCUCAUGCUACUCAUCGUCCAGGCACAAAGCAUCACUAGGCACUACGAUUUCAAUGUGCAAAUGGCGAACGUGACGAGGCUGUGCGCCAGCAAGAGCAUCGUGACGGUGAACGGGGAGUACCCCGGCCCGACGCUGGUGGCGAGGGAGGGCGAUCGCGUGCUCGUCCGCGUCACCAACCACGUAGCGCACAACAUGACGCUGCACUGGCACGGCAUCCGGCAGCUGCGGAGCGGCUGGGCCGACGGGCCGGCGUACGUCACGCAGUGCCCGAUUCAGACGGGCCAGAGCUACGUCUACAACUUCACCGUCACCGGGCAGCGCGGCACACUCUGGUGGCACGCGCACAUCUCCUGGCUACGCGCCACCGUCUACGGCGUCAUCGUCAUCCUUCCCAAGCUCGGCGUGCUUUACCCCUUCGUUGCGCCACACAAGGAAGUUCCAGUUCUCUUCGGUGAGUGGUGGAGGGCGGACACGGAGGCACUGGUCAGCCAGGCGCUCCGGACGGGCGGCGCCCCAAAUAUCUCAGACGCUUUCACCAUCAAUGGCCUCCCUGGGCCGCUAUACAACUGCUCCGCUAAAGACACGUUCAAGCUGAAGGUGGAACCUGGGAAAACAUACCUACUGCGCCUCAUCAACGCUGCUCUCAACGACGAGCUAUUCUUCUCCGUCGCCAACCACACACUCACCAUCGUCGAGGUCGACGCAGUUUACGUCAAACCAUUCACUGUCAAGACCCUGAUAAUCUCUCCGGGCCAGACCACCAACGUGCUCAGGCUAACUUCUACAUGUCCGCCGCGCCAUACUCCGUCAUCAGGCCUGGCACGUUCGACAGCACCACGGUCGCCGGCAUACUCGAGUACCACAACUCUCGCUCCGCCUCCGAGUCAAGCUUCGACAGACCUGCCACUCUUCAGGCCGACUAUGCCGAGGUUCAACGACACGGGCCUGGUCACCAACUUCACCUCCAAGCUCCGGAGCCUUGCCACACCGCAGUACCCGGCCGCCGUGCCACAGUCGGUGGACAAGCGGUUCUUCUUCACGGUCGGGCUGGGCACACGCCCUUGCCCCGUGAAUGCGACGUGCCAGGGGCCUACCAACACCACGCAGUUUGCGGCGGCCAUCAACAACAUCUCCCUGGUGCUUCCUUCGACAGCGCUCCUAUAGUCGCACUUCACAGGCAUGUCUCGAGGUGUCUACGGGUCAAACUUUCCAAUCAUGCCUCUCUCACGGUUCAACUACACUGGGGUAUCGCCGAACAACAUGAACGUGGCCACCGGGACGAAGCUGCUCGUGCUGCCAUUCAACGCGAUGGUGGAGCUGGUGAUGCAGGACACGAGCAUCCUUGGCAUCGAGAGCCACCCUCUGCACCUGCACGGCUUCAACUUCUUCGUUGUCGGGCAAGGCUUUGGCAACUACGACCCUGUGAAUGAUCCGACGAGGUUUAACCUCGUCGACCCCGUCGAGCGGAACACCGUUGGAGUGCCGGCUGGUGGGUGGGUGGCCAUACGUUUUCUCGCCGACAACCCAGGUGUAUGGUUCAUGCAUUGCCAUUUGGAGGUGCACACAACUUGGGGACUACGAAUGGCAUGGUUGGUGCUAGACGGGAACCUGCCGAACCAGAAGCUACUCCCCCCGCCAUCCGAUCUUCCCAAAUGCUAG